UACGUAGGGGGCGAGCGUUGUCCGGAGUUACUGGGCGUAAAGCGCACGCAGGCGGUCUGCUAAGUUUGGAGUGACAGUUGGUGGCUUAACUGCCAAAGUGCUUCGAAAACUGACAGACUUGAGGGCUUCAGAGGGACACGGAAUUCCGGGUGGAGUGGUGAAAUGCGUAGAGAUCCGGAGGAACACCAAAGGCGAAGGCAGUGUCCUGGGGAGUACCUGACGCUCGAGGUGCGAAAGCCAGGGGAGCGAACGGGAUU
rnacentral:rRNA from 1 species